rnacentral:rRNA from 1 species
CCUACGGGGCGCAGCAGUGGGGAAUAUUGCACAAUGGGGGAAACCCUGAUGCAGCAACGCCGCGUGAGUGAAGAAGUAUUUCGGUAUGUAAAGCUCUAUCAGCAGGGAAGAAGAUGACGGUACCUGAUUAAGAAGCCCCGGCUGACUACGUGCCAGCAGCCGCGGUAAUACGUAGGGGGCAAGCGUUAUCCGGAUUUACUGGGUGUAAAGGGAGCGUAGACGGCAGCGCAAGUCUGGAGUGAAAUGCCGGGGCCCAACCCCGGAACUGCUUUGGAAACUGUGCGGAUCGCGUGCGGGGGAGGUAG